ensembl:lncRNA
UGGGAAGAGGCCGGGCGGCCGAAAAACAAAGAGAUCAGCAAUCAGAAAUAGAUCGCGGUGAGCGGCGAAAAGCGCCGUUUUUUGGAGUUACAAAACGUCGUGUAACUCAAAAACUAGGAGGGCUAGCAGCCUAAUUCUUGUACUGGGUGAAUCAGCGGACUUUGGUGUAUUUUGACGGCGAUUUUCAUAGCUCUUUGUACCUCCGUCGCGGAGAUAUGACGAGAGAAGAAACGGCUUCAUUUUCAGAGUGUGAGAACUGAGAGGAGGACAGAUUUCCACCCCUCAAACAAACGUAAUUCAUUGCUCAACGGGUUCGUGGCAACCACGGAUGGGAAAAUGUGGAGGUUGCACGGCUGAUGUUUACUGUUCGUGGCACAGGAAGAGGCAGUUUCAUUUCAGGAAUGAGUGUGCACAAUCAAAGCUUAUCGCACAUUUGAUUUCCAUGUGUGACAACUGCAAGUGUCCAGAGUGAGGACAGACUGAGGGACCCACUGCUGCACAUCAUCUGUGAGGCUUUGCACCCCUGAUGAUCCACCAGGACAAACUCAGCAGUGUGUGAGGAAGAGGAGGAGGAAGAGCCAGCAGCAGCUGACAGAUGGAGAGAAUAGACAGACUGUUCCCUGUUUGUGAAGGACUGCUAGGAAAGUUUAACAUAACUAAUUGUCUGUCCUGAAUCAGUCUUAUUAGGUAAUGUUCAAAUAAUGUUAUCAUUCCAGUGUUUCCAGUGUGGGAGAAAGUACUCAGGGCCUUCAAGUUACACACUAUGAAAGGCAGCAACAAGUUUAAUAUUCAGAAACCUAAAGUAUGUAUCAGCAGCAGAAUGGAGAUAAAAAUAAAUGUUUGUUUCAGUUCUAUGAAGCUUUGAGUAUUUUGCAUUAGUAGUACUGCUGUGUUUGUUGCAUCAUAUUGCUGUAACUGUUUAUAUGCUUUAUAUAUUCUGAGGUAAGUUGAUCUAUAGUGUUACAUCAUAUUCUAUAAGGAUGUUAUGUGUUUGUAUACUUUCUGCCCAGUUUGACCCAUUUAGCAGACGUCAGUCUGUUUAAGGCUCUGAUAUCUAUUCUGUAUGACUUAAAGCAGUUAUGACAUGGUAUGAUUUUCUCACCCAAUAAAG